GACGAACGCUGGCGGCGUGCUUAACACAUGCAAGUCGAACGAAGAGCGAUGGGAGCUUGCUCCUAUCAAUCUUAGUGGCGAACGGGUGAGUAACGCGUAAUCAACCUGCCCUUCAAUGGGGGACAACAGUUGGAAACGACUGCUAAUACCGCAUACGAUCGUAAUUCGGCAUCGAGAUACGAUGAAAGGUGGCCUCUAUUUAUAAGCUAUCGUUGAAGGAGGGGAUUGCGUCUGAUUAGUUAGUUGGAGGGGUAACGGCCCACCAAGGCAAUGAUCAGUAGCCGGUCUGAGAGGAUGAACGGCCACAUUGGGACUGAGACACGGCCCAAACUCCUACGGGAGGCAGCAGUGGGGAAUCUUCCGCAAUGGACGAAAGUCUGACGGAGCAACGCCGCGUGAGUGAUGAAGGUCUUCGGAUUGUAAAGCUCUGUUAAUCGGGACGAAAGAGCCUAGUGUGAAUAAUGCUAGGAAGUGACGGUACCGGAAUAGAAAGCCACGGCUAACUACGUGCCAGCAGCCGCGGUAAUACGUAGGUGGCGAGCGUUGUCCGGAAUUAUUGGGCGUAAAGAGCAUGUAGGCGGCUUAAUAAGUCGAGCGUGAAAAUGCGGGGCUCAACCCCGUAUGGCGCUGGAAACUGUUAGGCUUGAGUGCAGGAGAGGAAAGGGGAAUUCCCAGUGUAGCGGNNNNNNGCGUAGAUAUUGGGAGGAACACCAGCGGCGAANGCGCCUUUCUGGACUGUGUCUGACGCUGANAUGCGAAAGCCAGGGUAGCGAACGGGAUUAGAUACCCCGGUAGUCCUGGNCGUAAACGAUGGGUACUANGUGUAGGAGGUAUCGACCCCUUCUGUGCCGGAGUUAACGCAAUAAGUACCCCGCCUGGGGAGUACGGNCGC
rnacentral:rRNA from 1 species